rnacentral:rRNA from 1 species
AGUGAACGCUGGCGGUAGGCCUAACACAUGCAAGUCGAACGGCAGCACAGUAAGAGCUUGCUCUUACGGGUGGCGAGUGGCGGACGGGUGAGGAAUACAUCGGAAUCUACUUUUUCGUGGGGGAUAACGUAGGGAAACUUACGCUAAUACCGCAUACGACCUACGGGUGAAAGCAGGGGAUCUUCGGACCUUGCGCGAUUGAAUGAGCCGAUGUCGGAUUAGCUAGUUGGCGGGGUAAAGGCCCACCAAGGCGACGAUCCGUAGCUGGUCUGAGAGGAUGAUCAGCCACACUGGAACUGAGACACGGUCCAGACUCCUACGGGCGGCAGCAGUGGGGAAUAUUGGACAAUGGGCGCAAGCCUGAUCCAGCCAUACCGCGUGGGUGAAGAAGGCCUUCGGGUUGUAAAGCCCUUUUGUUGGGAAAGAAAAGCAGCAGGUUAAUCCCCCGCUGUUCUGCCGGUACCCAAAGAAUAAGCACCGGCUAACUUCGUG